CCUGGUGGUCCAGUGGUUAGGACUCCGCACUUUCAUGGCUGAGUGCCUGGGUUCGAUCCUGGCAUCAGGA
rnacentral:tRNA from 1 species